rnacentral:rRNA from 1 species
AGAGUUUGAUCCUGGCUCAGAGCGAACGCUGGCGGCAGGCUUAACACAUGCAAGUCGAACGGGCACCUUCGGGUGUCAGUGGCAGACGGGUGAGUAACACGUGGGAACGUGCCUUUCGGUUCGGAACAACCCAGGGAAACUUGGGCUAAUACCGGAUACGCCCUUACGGGGAAAGAUUUAUCGCCGAAAGAUCGGCCCGCGUCUGAUUAGCUAGUUGGCGAGGUAACGGCUCACCAAGGCGACGAUCAGUAGCUGGUCUGAGAGGAUGAUCAGCCACACUGGGACUGAGACACGGCCCAGACUCCUACGGGAGGCAGCAGUGGGGAAUAUUGGACAAUGGGCGAAAGCCUGAUCCAGCCAUGCCGCGUGAGUGAUGAAGGCCUUAGGGUUGUAAAGCUCUUUCGACGGGGACGAUAAUGACGGUACCCGUAGAAGAAGCCCCGGCUAACUUCGUGCCAGCAGCCGCGGUAAUACGAAGGGGGCUAGCGUUGCUCGGAAUCACUGGGCGUAAAGGGCGCGUAGGCGGACUUUUAAGUCAGAGGUGAAAGCCCAAGGCUCAACCUUGGAAUUGCCUUUGAUACUGGGAGUCUAGAGACCGGAAGAGGUAAGUGGAACUGCGAGUGUAGAGGUGAAAUUCGUAGAUAUUCGCAAGAACACCAGUGGCGAAGGCGGCUUACUGGUCCGGUUCUGACGCUGAGGCGCGAAAGCGUGGGGAGCAAACAGGAUUAGAUACCCUAGUAGUCC